CCCUAUCUCUCCUCUCUGAAUUACCUCCAGGAGUUUUCAGCUGGGACAGUAUCCAUCAACAGAGCAUUUGGAAAUGUAUGGAGAACACUGGGAUCACCUCUAGGACUGACAGACAUGACUGGCCUUUAAGGUAGGGAGAGGAAUUUCUAAUUACUCAAAGGGGAAGAUGAAACGUCUCAUCUUGUGUGCCAUUCCCCAACAAAGUAGACCGAGCGUCCUUAAGGAGUCUCAAAGAAGCAGAAAAGAUGAGCAAGAGGAUUCUGCAGUUGUGAACGGCCCAUUCAUACUGGAGUACGACCCAGGUCUCGAGGCUCCACCAUGUGCCAUGAACUAGUUUGCCCAGAUGAGGUCUCUGAGCCUUAUUUGACCAUUACUGGUACUACCACUAUCACGGACAUCAAGAUAAGUAUUCAUUGGACACCUAAUACCUGUGGGUAGGUGCUUUGCACAAUGUAUGUAAUGAAUCUUCACAUCUGUGAGAUAAGAAUUAUUCCUGUGGUAACUAUUGGAAAUUGAGACUCACGGAAAUUGAGCACCCAAGAGACUCUCCUCCAGAUCUGCUUGCAAGUAGGAUGCCCCCAUUACGCCAGACCUUGGAACCCUGUAGCACCUGCCCACCUAGCUCAUUCUCCUGCUCCAAUAAAAAAAAGGGGAGGGGGCAUUUCAUAGCAUCACC